rnacentral:rRNA from 1 species
UACGAAGGGGGCUAGCGUUGUUCGGAAUCACUGGGCGUAAAGCGCACGUAGGCGGAUCUUUAAGUCAGAGGUGAAAUCCCAAGGCUCAACCUUGGAACUGCCUUUGAUACUGGGGAUCUCGAGUUCGGGAGAGGUGAGUGGAACUGCGAGUGUAGAGGUGAAAUUCGUAGAUAUUCGCAAGAACACCAGUGGCGAAGGCGGCUCACUGGCCCGAUACUGACGCUGAGGUGCGAAAGCGUGGGGAGCAAACAGG